UUCAGAGGAUGCAGCCCCUGUCUCUCCUGAGGGGGGAUUCCUCCGCCGCUGUCCGUCACCAGCGGAUGCUGGGAAUUUAAGCGAAGUGUGACAGCGGAGGACAGUCCUCCCCGAGUGCGUCAGGCUGCGACCCGGAGAGAGCGCAUGGCGAGAAGGGCGCCUACAGGAAUCUGUGGCACAGUGCAGUCUGCCACUCCAGAGAGAGACGCGCUCGUCUCACAUGAAUAAUGGCCUCGGUGAGAAACCCACUGCUCGGAGAACCAUGUCAUCAUACCUCAGCAACUCUCCCCGAGGCUGCUGAGUUACAAACAGAUGAGCACAGGAGCCUUAAUGGAAGUUGGAGGUGAUGGAAACUUAAUGGACCUCAAUGUAUAAAAUAAACAACGCGUUUUUUCAUCCACUGUAUAGGGUGGCUCUGCUGCUUGUAUUGUAUAUUUUGUCUACAUGGACCAAUGUGAAAAUGAUUGAAUCUAUUAGAGUGGACUAGUGUAUGGUAGGCAUACAAUGUAUAAGAUGUAAAGAUUAAUUCCACUUUUCCCAAAUCCUUGUCCAGCAACUAUCCAUUUGUGUGUCAGAUUCCAAAGUGGAGCAAGUGAAGGUGCUGAGGGCAAAAAAAAUUAUAAUCUUACAGACUGUCAAACAGCAGCUGCAGCAGACAUGACAAUGCCAAAGCUACUCAGGCUGCACAGCUCUCCACAGCAGAUCCACAUUCCUCAUCUAAUCUUGUGUUGUGUGUGGAUUGUGUCUGUCCACAUUAUCCCAAUGAGUCAUCUGAAGCUCAGCGAACAGCAUUUGGCCUCAUGCUCUCUUCACAAAUUCAGAGGAGGGAUAAACUGCCAAGGACAAUCUGAUAGGAUGAGGAGUUACUGAGGCUACAACAGCAAUUACCGUGAGAGGAUGGGGAGUCACUCACAGGCCAGACAAAAGGGAAGGUCGCAGGGCACAAAGCUUGAGCAGCAGCAAACUUUCCUUCAUAUCAGGAAACUGCAGGUGCCCGGAGAUUUCAGGCUCUCCCCCAGUCCAAGGCUGCAUCCACACAUCCUCCCAUCAUCAAAAGGCCCUCCCACUGUCCUUCAAAGCACCUCUGCGCUUUAAAUUUCACCUCUCUAACCAUCCAGCUCAGCCCUUUUCCUAUGCAGAUCAAUAGAAACAGGAUCCGUUGCUCCAUGCUGCGGUAAUCUGAUGAGCGGGGCUAGGCCGCCGGCUGGUGCCACGUCCUGACUCUAAUGGGGGUCACACCGUCUCCGACCCAGCGGCGGCCCAGCGGGCAAGGCGGCGCAGGUGGAGGCCCUCUUCCAGACACCGGUGGCACCAAGAGAAAUCACGUCACCUCACCGGUGCUUUUUUACAAAAUGCAAACAGGUUCACUUCCUGUUCACAACACAGAGUGUAUGGCCACAUGCAAUUCAUUUGUCCCCUGAAGGCCCAUUCAAGCACUUAUUGUGCCUCAUGAGCUGACGCAUGAUUUGACCAUUUUCAUAAUGAACCCUGGUCCUAUAAAAGGCUGACAAUAUGAUUAGUACACUUGAUUAUUUUCUGACUUGAAAAUAGCCUGUACGUCAUUAUUUCUCAAUGAACCUGGGUCAUUCAUGUCCUCCAUACCUCAUUCUCAAGUACCUUUAUGUCAUUGUUUUGCCUCAGGACUUUGUGUUUGUUUAAAGACACAGUGUGCAUCAGUUAAUGAGUGCAAACGAGAACCUUCCCUGUCUGCAGUUUAUUAAUGGAAACGAAGACUGGAAAUUGUCUAGCCAUCUUAAUAAAAUGAACCCCAUUGUCUGUCACAUUAAUUGAGUCAGCAGAGUGAGUUCUACUUGUGUGUGUGUGUGUGUGUGUGUGUGUGUGUGUGUGUG